rnacentral:rRNA from 1 species
UACGAAGGACCCGAGCGUUAUCCGGAUUCAUUGGGUUUAAAGGGUGCGUAGGCGGAUUGAUAAGUCAGUGGUGAAAUCCUGCGGCUUAACUGCAGAACUGCCAUUGAUACUGUCGAUCUUGAGUACAUAUGAAGUGGGCGGAAUGUGUCAUGUAGCGGUGAAAUGCUUAGAUAUGACACAGAACACCGAUUGCGAAGGCAGCUCACUAAACUGUUACUGACGCUGAGGCACGAAAGCGUGGGGAUCAAACAGG